UACGAAGGGGGCUAGCGUUGUUCGGAAUCACUGGGCGUAAAGCGCACGCAGGCGGAUCGUUAAGUCAGGGGUGAAAUCCCGAGGCUCAACCUCGGAACUGCCUUUGAUACUGGCGAUCUUCGAGUCCGGGAGAGGUGAGUGGAACUCCGAGUGUAGAGGUGAAAUUCGUAGAUAUUCGGAAGAACACCAGUGGCGAAGGCGGCUCACUGGCCCGGUACUGACGCUCAGGUGCGAAAGCGUGGGGAGCAAACAGG
rnacentral:rRNA from 1 species